rnacentral:piRNA from 1 species
UGUUUGUUCCUUCUGGCUGAUUCGUGGUC